GGUUUCCUGCGAUUCUAACGGUGAAGUCCGACCGAGGUUCUCCCUGAAACAAAGCGACGGAGGUGAGAAACAGAUGCUCGCAUCUGAGAAGAACACCUAAAACCGAGUUGAUUGAAGGUUGUAAACUUCAUAUCUAGGGUUUACCCUAUUUCCAAAUCAGACGAU